rnacentral:snRNA from 1 species
UUCCCUGUCUGGGGACCAUAUAUUAAGUGGAUUUUUGGAACAGGGAGAUGGAAUAGGGGGUUGCUCCAUCCACUCCACGCAUCAACCUGGUAUUGCAGUAUCUCCAGGAACGGUGUGUUCCCC